AUACAGCUGACGAGUCCCAAGUAGAACGAAACGUGAGUACUGAAU
rnacentral:hammerhead_ribozyme from 1 species